rnacentral:rRNA from 1 species
AGUUUGAUCCUGGCUCAGGACGAACGCUGGCGGCGUGCUUAACACAUGCAAGUCGAACGGAAAGGCCCUGCUUGCAGGGUGCUCGAGUGGCGAACGGGUGAGUAACACGUGGGUGAUCUGCCCCUUACUUCGGGAUAAGCCUGGGAAACUGGGUCUAAUACUGGAUAGGACCAUGCUGUAGGUGGUGUGGUGGAAAGAUUUUUUCGGUAAGGGAUGAGCUCGCGGCCUAUCAGCUUGUUGGUGGGGUAAUGGCCUACCAAGGCGUCGACGGGUAGCCGGCCUGAGAGGGUGGACGGCCACAUUGGGACUGAGAUACGGCCCAGACUCCUACGGGAGGCAGCAGUGGGGAAUAUUGCACAAUGGGCGCAAGCCUGAUGCAGCGACGCCGCGUGGGGGAUGACGGCCUUCGGGUUGUAAACUCCUUUCAGCCAUGACGAAGCCUCUUUUGGGGUGACGGUAGUGGUAGAAGAAGCACCGGCUAACUACGUGCCAGCAGCCGCGGUAAUACGUAGGGUGCGAGCGUUGUCCGGAAUUACUGGGCGUAAAGAGCUCGUAGGUGGUCUGUCGCGUCAUUUGUGAAAGCCCGGGGCUUAACUCCGGGUUGGCAGGUGAUACGGGCAUGACUGGAGUACUGUAGGGGAGACUGGAAUUCCUGGUGUAGCGGUGAAAUGCGCAGAUAUCAGGAGGAACACCGGUGGCGAAGGCGGGUCUCUGGGCAGUAACUGACGCU